rnacentral:rRNA from 1 species
UACGGAGGAUGCGAGCGUUAUCCGGAUUUAUUGGGUUUAAAGGGUGCGUAGGCGGUGUAGCAAGUUAGAAGUGAAAUACCUAGAGCUUAACUCAGGUGCUGCUUCUAAAACUGCUAUACUUGAGUGCAGUAGAGGAAAGUGGAAUUCCUAGUGUAGCGGUGGAAUGCGUAGAUAUUAGGAGGAACAUCAGUGGCGAAGGCGACUUUCUGGACUGUAACUGACGCUGAGGCACGAAAGUGUGGGGAGCAAACAGG